rnacentral:rRNA from 1 species
GAUGAACGCUAGCGGCAGGCUUAAUACAUGCAAGUCGAGGGGCAGCGCAGUGUAGCAAUACAUGGGCGGCGACCGGCAAACGGGUGCGGAACACGUACGCAACCUUCCUUUAAGUGGGGGAUAGCCCAGGGAAACUUGGAUUAAUACCCCGUAAUAUUAUGAAGUGGCAUCACUUUAUACUUAUCGCUCCGGCGCUUAAAGAUGGGCGUGCGACUGAUUAGGUAGUUGGCGGGGUAACGGCCCACCAAGCCUGCGGUCAGUAACUGGGGUGAGAGCACGACCAGUCACACGGGCACUGAGACACGGGCCCGACUCCUACGGGAGGCAGCAGUAAGGAAUAUUGGUCAAUGGACGCAAGUCUGAACCAGCCAUGCCGCGUGGAGGAUGAAGGUCCUCUGGAUUGUAAACUUCUUUUAUUUGGGAAGAAACCCACUGUUUCUACGGUGGUUGACGGUACCAGAUGAAUAAGCACCGGCUAACUCCGUGCCAGCCGCCGCAGUAAAAC